GAGUUUGAUCGUGGCUCAGGACGAACGCUGGCGGCGUGCUUAACACACGCAAGUCGAACGGAGCACCCCUGAAGGAGUUUUCGGACAACGGAUGGGAAUGCUUAGUGGCGGACUGGUGAGUAACACGUGGGGAACCUGCCCUUAAGUAGGGGAUAACAUUUGGAAACAAAUGCUAAUACCGUAUAACAACAUAAACCACAUGGUUUAUGUUUGAAAGAUGGCUCUGCUAUCGCUUUUGGAUGGACCCGCGGCGUAUUAGCUAGUUGGUGAGAUAAUGGCUCACCAAGGCGAUGAUACGUAGCCGACCUGAGAGGGUAAUCGGCCACAUUGGAACUGAGACACGGUCCAGACUCCUACGGGAGGCAGCAGUAGGGAAUCUUUCACAAUGGACGAAAGUCUGAUGAAGCAAUGCCGCGUGAGUGAUGAAGGGUUUCGGCUCGUAAAGCUCUGUUGUUAGAGAAGAACAGGUAUAAGAGUAACUGUUUAUACUUCGACGGUAUCUAACCAGAAAGUCACGGCUAACUACGUG
rnacentral:rRNA from 1 species